CUGUAAGAGUGUAACAAAAAAGUAUCUGUUUGAUACUGCAGCCUUUGUGCUCGGGAACUGACUGCAGCUGUGGUUUCUGAAUCUGAUUCCCGCAACAAGUCUGGGCGCUCACACUUCCCGGUGGAUGAAGGAGGAGCCCUUGAGACUACUGGCAAUUAACAUUUGCUGAGGGAGAGGAGGGUCAUUUUCCUCUGCGGUAUAGUCACAGAUGAGCUGCCCCUGCGCCCUUGAAUAACCCCCACACCCACACUCAGGCAAGUGACUAAUUAAACUCAGUGGGCCACGUGCAAAAAGAAGAAACGGAGGUGUUACCUGCCAGAAGCUGUGUCUGGAUCUCUAAGCCUGCGUGGCCAAGCUGUUCUCCCUCCCCCGCCCCCUCCCAUCCCCAGUGGCCUUUAUCUGCUGAACAACUCACCAGUCCAUCUGUGUACAUCACUCUUGGCUUUCCUGUCUUCCAAGCUCUCAACAGAAUGCCUGUUAAGCUCAAUCUCUGCAUUCUAGAAGCUUCGAUACCCAUAAACACGAUUUCUCCUCCAGAGUUUAACAUUCAAGUCUUGGUUCCUUUUUUCUCAGGGCAAUGGGGACAAUUCAUGGAAUCAGCCUCAGCGUCCAAACAACAGAGGAUUGGGUCAGGAUAAAGAGGAGAGCUGUGUCACCUACAGGAAAAUGAAUACAGUGAGAGACAGCUCCACAGUCCGUGUUCCUGACCAAGGAAUGUUCUCUGUAAGGCAGAGACGUGACUCCUCAGCCUUGCUCUGCGCCAUCCAGAAGGAAAUUGUUAAAACACCUCCAGCUUUGUCUUUCUGAAUGAGCUGAGGCCCGAACCCAGGGCCUUCUGCUUGCUAGGCAAGCGUUCAACCACUGAGCUAAAUCCCCAACCCCAUCUUUCUGAAUUCUUGACUCUCAUCUGUAUACGUGUCUUCACUGCAGAGAUUUGUAAGUGGGUAGCCAUUCCAGCUUUGAUCUGGAAGUCCCAACCCCCAUUGAGGCUUCGGUAACUGUCACGCCUACA